rnacentral:rRNA from 1 species
CAAUAGCGUAUAUUAAAGUUGUUGCAGUUAAAAAGCUCGUAGUUGGAUUUCUGUUUGAGGGUGGCGGUCCGCCUCACGGUGAGCACUGCUGGCUCUUGGACAUCCUCCCGAAGGCGUGCGGUGCACUUAGUUGUGUGGUGUACGGAUUCGGGACCUUUACUUUGAAAAAAUUAGAGUGUUCAAAGCAGGCGUCGGCUUGAAUACAUUAGCAUGGAAUAAUGGAAUAGGACUUUGGUUCUAUUUUGUUGGUUUCUAGGACCGAAGUAAUGAUUAAUAGGGACAGUUGGGGGCAUUAGUAUUUAAUUGUCAGAGGUGAAAUUCUUGGAUUUAUGAAAGACUAACUACUGCGAAAGCAUUUGCCAAGGAUGUUUUCAUUAA